rnacentral:lncRNA from 1 species
UGCAUUUAGGUUUUUAGAAAGGAAACUGACCCCACCCUUUAUUUUCUAUCUCGGAGUAUCGUUCUAACUUCAUUAUUAUUACUUCAAGGUGUUAUUAUUUCCCCAUCAUCAUCAUGGUCAUUAUCAUAACUAGUUGGUGCUGACAGUAGUCACCCUGCAUUGAGAACUCAUGCUCCAGGCCCUUUCCACAUAGACUUGAUUUAAUUCCAUUCACUCCUCACAACAAUCGUCUGAAAGAAAGAAUCACUAAGCCAUUGUAUAAUUGAAACACAAGAGGCGAGUGACUUGUGUGCUUACCUGUGGUGACUCCUCAUUAAAUGGAGGAAUGUGCCAGUAUUUUCAGCAAAACAUGAAUCUGAUGAAACACUGACCCGGCCAACGUUUUUACAUUUAAAUAUCAGACAUCUAUCAUAUUCCUUUCUCCCUACUACAAACAUUGUAUGCUUUUCAAUAGGCAUAAGAUUUUGUUUUCACUCAGGUUGGAUUCAACAGGUAUUAUUUAGCAGUUCAUUGCAUCUAUCCAUUUACCCAAUAGAGGAAGUAUACAAGAUACAAAUGAAUAAAGUGUAAUAAUUCUUAUACUAUAAUUGAUGGUGAAAUUAAAAUUAUUUCUGUCAGAUGUGGUACUUUGAUGACAGUGGAUAAGCAUGGGAAUAAAAGAAAGUUUUGAGGAAGAGGGGACAGUUUUUGUUUACUUAAUGAUUAUUCCAAAGAUGUUAAGUAAACAUUCUAUAGAAUGCAACAUAUAGUGGAAUACAGCAUUGAAACAAUUUAAUAAUGUAGUCAAUGAAUCCAGUUUUUAGAAAUGGGAUCCAUUUUCUAAAACUGAGCAUACAGAUACUUCAUGAGAUGCUUUAUCACUCAUCCUAAACCAAACCAACUCCUUCCCUUGACUGUCUUGCAGUGCAUAGGGCAUCUCUACACUCUAGGAAAGGAAUUAUCAAUCUGUUUAUAUGCCACUUAUAAAAUCAUACUUAAUGUACGAUUAGGCAUAAAUUUACUUGCAUUUUUAAAUUUUGUAAAAUGUUAACGGAAAGUGUUCUUGAAAAACAUUUCUGAGAAUUCCAAAAAAUGAACAAAUUUUAAUACAUAAGGGACAAUAUCUUUCUAGUGAAUUGAUUAUCAGAGUGUAAUGUGGUAUGUUCUGAUUAUGUUACAUAAUAUUCUGAUUAGCAGAAAAUUUUGAAUAAGUGAAUUUAGCAAAAUGUUUAGAGGUCAAGAAAACUGUUUUAGACUGACUAUGUUUUCUGACCCAAAUGUAAGAAAGAACCCAAUAAAAAGAGGCAGCCAGAUAAUGCUGUUGUUUGCAAACUUAAACAGAAGCUUGCAUGUAAUUUAUGACUCAAAGAAAAAUAAAAAUAGAAGUUAUACUUUAUUUAGAACUUAAUGACAGUGAAAAAUUGCACAUAAAAAGGAAGACUGUUGAAUACAGCAAAAGCUGGAAUUAUAUAAGAAAUAUAAACAUAAACACACAAAAUAAGUGUAAAUUAUAAUGAAGUAAAAAUAUAUCAAAGAGAAAGAAGGAAGCAGUACAAUAAAAAAUAAAGUUGAUUCUUUAAAAACCAUAGUUAAAUAGACAAAUUUCCAGCCAGAUUGUUUACCAAGUAAAGAGAAAAAGAAGGAGAUAGAUCAAAAGACACAAGAUGAUGAUGAAAAGAGGGUCAGCACUUAUAAACAUAGUAGAAAUUUAAGCCAUAAUGAGCACAAGAAAGCAUUAUCAACUUACUUUUGAAUAUAUAAAAUAGACACUUAAAAAACUGAACAAAAAUGACUUACUAGUUUUAAAAGAAAAAAAAAACAUCAAACAUCUAUCCUUCCAAAAGUAUAGACUUCAAAAGUAUAGUCCCAGAAGGGUGAACAUAAACCACACUUUAAGCAAGAACUCUCAGUUAUAACCAGAUGGGUGAACAUAAACCACACUUUAAGCAAGAACUCUCAGUUAUAACCAGAUGGGUGAACAUAAACCACACUUUAAGCAAGAACUCUCAGUUAUAACCAGAUGGGUGAACAUAAACCACACUUUAAGCAAGAACUCUCAGUUAUAACCACAUGGGUGAACAUAAACCACACUUUAAGCAAGAACUCUCAGUUAUAACCAGAUGGGUGAACAUAAACCACACUUUAAGCAAGAACUCUCAGUUAUAACCAGAUGGGUGAACAUAAACCACACUUUAAGCAAGAACUCUCAGUUAUAACUGCUUGCAGUUUUAGAGGAUCCCAGCCACACUCCUGAACCAGAGCUUGGCACUGGGUAUUCCCUCUGGAACACCCUUUUAUUUCCUUCUCUAAGCAAAGACAUGGAAUCAACCUAAAUGCCCAUCAGUGGUCUGCUGGAUAAAGAAAAUGUGGUAUAUAAACACCAUGGAAUACUAUGCAGACAUAAAAAAAGAACAAGAUCUUGUUCUUUGCAGGGAUGUGGAUGUAGUUAGAGACCAUUAUCCUUAGCAAACUAACACAGGAACAGAAGAUCAAACACUGCAUGUUCUCACUCAUAGGUGGGAGCUAAAUGAUGAGAACACACGGACACAUAGAGUGGGGGACAACACACACUGGGGCCUUUUGGAGGGUGGAGAAUUGGAGGAGGGAGAAGAUACAAAAGAAUAACUAGUGGUUACUAGGCUUAAUACUGGGGUGAUGAAAUAAUCUGUACAACAAACCACCAUGAUACAAGUUUACCUAUGUAAUGAACCUGCACUUGUACCCCUGAACUUAAAAGUUAAAAAUGAAUGAAGCCUGUCAGAACCACCCAUUUAGCAGUCUAACAUUUUGCCUAGUAUUCCCAAAUCCCUUUGCCUAGCCAACAUUUUUCACAGCACUUUUUGUCUUCAAACUACUGGCCUGAAGCAAUCUGGCUUAGCUUUCUGAGUAGCUGGAAUUGCAGGUGUACCAGUGUGCCCAGCCACAGUUUUUUCAAGACCUGUUUAAGACAACAGGUUAGAGAAAAUCAAGAUAAUAUUUUGAGGGGGAAGAAGGUAAAAUCAAUUAAGACAGGGUGCACAGAGUACUUGAAUGGUACAGAUAAUGUUUAUCCUUUGUACUAAAUGGUGUGUAUGUGGGAAUUGGUUAUAUUAUUUUGACUGUUUGUAGUCAUAUUAUAUACAUAUGUGUAUAAAUAAAAAUAAAAGAAAAAAUAUAAGCUAAAUUUAUAGAUAUAUUAAUUUUAUUUAAAUAUAACAAAGAUUUGCCAGUAUUCAAAUGUCUGCAAUGAUUCUUAAAAUGCACAGAACCUGUGUUUAGGUACAGUAUCACUGUUCAUCCAGCCUUCAUUCACUCGAAUCUACUCUUACCUAAAAUUUGUACCGUAAGUAAAUUACAUUCUGUAUGACAGAAAGCAAAUUACAAUAUUAGAACAACAUUAUGGAAAAUUGGCAUAACAUUGUACAAUCAUCCAUUACUUUAUUAUUUAUCAUUUUGCAAAUUUUUAUUAUAUUAGUAAAAAAGUCUAACUGUACUUAAUAGCUAAUACAUAUAUUAUUUGAUAUUUUUAAAGACCAUUAUUAAAAUAAUAAUAAUUUGGGGGUGAGAAGGCCUAUUGAAAAAUGACCAACGUGGAAAUCAUAAAUAAGUUUGAUGCAACAAAUAUUUGUGAGUCUUAUAGUUAAAAAUGUAAAAAUUCAUUAUAAACAAAGCUAAAAGACAAUAAUAUGCAUUGGGAAAUAUUUGCAACAUUUACUUCAAAGGUGGAUGUCCUUAAGAGAAUUUUUACAAAUUAAUAAACAUUUAAAAAGGUGAGGAGUGGCAAUAGCUAUGAGAGACAAUUUACAAAAACAUAAAAAAUAUGAAAACUGUUUAAUCUGUAAGUACAUCAAUAAAAAUUUUAUUAUUGUAGUUAUUUUAUCUAUUAAAUUAGGAAAGGUCAAUACAAUUGGUAAUCUUCCAAGUAAAUAUAGGAGAGAAGGUCUUUCUCAUACAUUUAUAAGAAUAUUAUUUUGUUAGAAUGCAAUUAAAUAAACACUUGGUAAAAAUCCAUAUCCUUUGUCCAAACAAUUUAAGUUCUAGACCUCUAGAAUCCACAUGUACAUAUACAUAUAUACAUACAUAUACACACACACAUUCACACCUAUAUAUUAACAACUCAAAUCCAACUCCAACUCUUUUGUAAGUAGUAUUUUGUCCAACAAAUAAAUUUAUCUCAAAUUCUUCUUGACUUUUCUCCAUUAUAGAGCCAGCAAUUCUACGUGUAACUCUACCUCUAAUUCCUUUAUUUGCAUUUAUUUCUGCUUUCAAACCCUUAUAUGAGGCAAGUGGGAUUAAUUUAUUUCAUUACCUUAACUAGAUUCAUCGCUUUACUUUGUCAAACUCUGAUUGAUUUGCUCAACUCAAUCUUAUGUGUUCAAGAACUUAAUGUGGAUUCCUGUUCCACCUUAUGAAAGUCUUUUCCAAAAACUUGCUAAAUUCUUGACUCAAGACAUUGCAGUCAGUAAUGCAUUUCUCUCCUCAAAUACAAUGGAACUGUGUUCUAAUAAAUACUCUUCAACAAUGUGCAGUUAUUUCUCCACAACUAUCAAUUCCCCUUAAAGCAGAAUUUUACUAAAAAUGGCUUUAUCCUUCUGGGGAUAAUCAGUAAAAUGGCAAUUGGUGGGUGAAUUAAAAAUAUACUAAAAGCAGAUGGCAGAACAUGAGUGCAGAUUUUUACUACAAAGCUUAGGAAAAGCAAAAGGAACUUGAAUAGAGAAAAUGCAGAAAAGCCCUCCUUUGGCUAUUAGGACGGAGAGAGCAGAAGUAUGUUUAGAGCUUCAAAGAGUCUGACUCUUUGCAACUGUUUAUCUUAGGACUUUAAGGAAGUAAAAGGUGCAAGUGAAACACUCUGG